UGCAGUCGAGGGGCAGCAUGACCUAGCAAUAGGUUGAUGGCGACCGGCGCACGGGUGAGUAACACGUAUCCAACCUACCGGUUAUUCCGGGAUAGCCUUUCGAAAGAAAGAUUAAUACCGGAUAGUAUAACGAGAAGGCAUCUUUUUGUUAUUAAAGAAUUUCGAUAACCGAUGGGGAUGCGUUCCAUUAGUUUGUUGGCGGGGUAACGGCCCACCAAGACAUCGAUGGAUAGGGGUUCUGAGAGGAAGGUCCCCCACAUUGGAACUGAGACACGGUCCAAACUCCUACGGGAGGCAGCAGUGAGGAAUAUUGGUCAAUGGACGAGAGUCUGAACCAGCCAAGUAGCGUGAAGGAUGACUGCCCUAUGGGUUGUAAACUUCUUUUAUAUGGGAAUAAAGUGAGCCACGUGUGGCUUUUUGUAUGUACCAUACGAAUAAGGAUCGGCUAACUCCGUGCCAGCAGCCGCGGUAAUACGGAGGAUCCGAGCGUUAUCCGGAUUUAUUGGGUUUAAAGGGAGCGUAGGCGGACUAUUAAGUCAGCUGUGAAAGUUUGCGGCUCAACCGUAAAAUUGCAGUUGAUACUGGUCGUCCUGAGUGCAGUAGAGGUAGGCGGAAUUCGUGGUGUAGCGGUGAAAUGCUUAGAUAUCACGAAGAACUCCGAUUGCGAAGGCAGCUUACUGGACUGUAACUGACGCUGAUGCUCGAAAGUG
rnacentral:rRNA from 1 species